GAAACACGGACCAAGGAGUCUAGCAUGUGCGCGAGUCAUUGGGACUCUGUUAAACCUAAAGGCGCAAUGAAAGUAAAGGUCCGCCUCGCGCGGACCGAGGGAGGAUGGGCCCGUCCACGGACGGACCCCGCACUCCCGGGGCGUCUCGUCCUCAUCGCGAGGAGAGGCGCACCCAGAGCGUACACGCUGGGACCCGAAAGAUGGUGAACUAUGCCUGGUCAGGACGAAGUCAGGGGAAACCCUGAUGGAGGUCCGUAGCGAUUCUGACGUGCAAAUCGAUCGUCGGAACUGGGUAUAGGGGCGAAAGACUAAUCGAACCUUCUAGUAGCUGG
rnacentral:rRNA from 1 species